UAUUCAUUGAUCUCAAGAUUCUGAGAUGCUGUUACUGCACAUUUUAAGUUGUGGAUUUGCUGACUAGGCCUAUGUCAUUUGAAUGGCAGGAAAAAUCCCAUAAACUACGCAAUCAGAUAAUUACUAAUUAAAAAGAUAAAAUGAUGAAGCAUGAGAAGGAAAAUGAUUAUCUAAAAAUACAAGUGAAAUGCGAAGGUAUUGGGACUAUUUAUAAAAAGGGCAGUACUUUAUACAUCGGAUCAUCCGAUAUGGAUGUAAAUGCCCCCACAUUUUUCAAUCUGCUGGAGUACAGAGCGAAAACAACAAAAAUUGUAUCACUGUCCUGAUAUUUUUCCAACUUAUAUCAAUGUAUUCACAUGAUAAUAGAAAGAUAAAAUAAACAUUUUAUAAUCAAACUUUAUGUCUAGUGCCAUCCUGGAGCAGAGCACAGCAAUACUGCUUGGCUCAGAACACUCAUGGAGCUCAGACCUCUACUCCUGUGUCAGACAAUAUAAAAGCAGGAGAUACGACAAUGCUCGUAUGGACAGUUGUUGGAAUCUCUGUGGCUUUUGCACUCUUUACUAUCAUGGUGUGCACAAGCAGGAAGAAGUGCACCAACAGAGAGAGAGGGAGAAGCAGACGCUCUCGUACUAGCAGAGCCUUCAGAGAGUGACAAACGCAGCCAGCGACACAAACUCUGAGCUUCAGAGAGCUGACGAGGCCUCAGUGUGGGAUUAAAACACACAGAGGAGAGAAUCUGUAGAGAAUGAGAAAUGGUGGAGAUCAGGGUGAAAGAGUCUCUUUUUGUUUUUAACUUUGCAGAACUGCCGUCUGUUUCUGCUAGUUUAUCCAUUUUAUGAACAGCUGUUGGUGGAGGAUUUUUCCCAAAGUACUGUAACCCUGCUGCAACAUGCAUGUUCAUGUAACCCUGCUGCAACAUGCAUGCUCAUGUAAUCCUGCUGCAUACAUGCUCCUGUGACACCGUUACACGUUUAUAUAACCCUGUUACACAUACGAUCAUAACUCAUGUACACGCGCAUGUAUUCUCUCACAUUGAAUGGGAAGAUUAUAAUGCAGAUAAAUGCAGAUUAUAAUCUCCAAACUCAAGUCACUUUUAAAGGCAAGUCACUUUAAAGG